CUCGAGUAGGGCCCAAGCAAGCCAGGAAGGAGGAGGCAGCCAGAGUGUUCUCUGCAGCAGAAGACCCCUUGCGGCCCUGCUUAAUCCAGACCAGCAUUUGCCAGUAGGAAGAAUAUUCCAAAGCCCUGGGGCAGCCACAGAGAAAGCCUGGUCAUGGGUCGCCACCAAAUGAGCCAGCGGCAUCUGUAACUGGACGUCCCCAGAAGAUCGUAACAGGUGGUAGGAUUUAUGACAAAGGAGGUGCUUUCUUAAAUAGCCUGGACCUAAGCCAUUAAGGGCUUUAUAGUUCCUUUUCUCCUGACGAAGUCCUGCUAUGCCAGGAGGAAACAGGUCCACAGCCUAGGACACCUGUCGAGUGAGAGAGAGAGACCCACAUGGGGGAAUGUAUGCUAUGACUCUAGCCAUUCAUUUCUGCAUUUCCAUCUUUCGGGACAUCCCCAGGACUGGAUUGUUAGGUAUCCAACAUGUUCCACUUGGAGUCAUGGUUUUACAGCUGAUAUAAUCAUUCUUUAUUGUGGGCUGACUUUGUCAUUCAUUGUUCUAUUCUGAGCUUUGUGGUCAAUUUUUCAUUGUCAUUGUUCUUUAUUGCAUAUAUGUGUAUAUAAUAUAUGUAAUUUUCUACACGGUUUUUUGGCUUUACAGCCUGUGUUUGUGCUGGUUUAUCCGUGUUCUCCUCUGGUUUGCAAGAAUUAAAAGUACUGUAUAAUAUUAAUGCAAUAUAAAAUGCAACACACUAAAGCCACAACAUGCAGCAUUACAUGCUAAAUACCACUAAAGGCACACACUAGGAUACAAUACUAUCCAUAAUUUGUCAUUUUGUAUAUGAAAAGUGUCAUCUUUGUUUGCUGUUAUUACCUCUCUGUUGCUCCCAUAAAAAUAAAAUAUAACCCAAAUGAUCUCAUCAAG